rnacentral:rRNA from 1 species
GAGUUUGAUCCUGGCUCAGAUUGAACGCUGGCGGUAGGCUUAACACAUGCAAGUCGUGCGAGAAAGUAUCUUCGGAUAUGAGUAGAGCGGCGGACGGGUGAGUAACGCGUAGGAAUCUACCUAGUAGAAGGGGAUAGCCCGGGGAAACCCGGAUUAAUACCGUAUACCUCCUUCGGGAGAAAGAAGGCCUCUCUUUGAAGCUUUCGCUAUUAGAUGAGCCUGCGUAAGAUUAGCUUGUUGGUGAGGUAAAGGCUCACCAAGGCUACGAUCUUUAGCUGGUCUGAGAGGACGAUCAGCCACAUUGGGACUGAGACACGGCCCAGACUCCUACGGGAGGCAGCAGUGGGGAAUAUUGGACAAUGGGCGCAAGCCUGAUCCAGCCAUACCGCGUGUGUGAAGAAGGCCUUCGGGUUGUAAAGCACUUUAAGCAGGGAGAAAAAGUUAUAAGUUAAUACCUUAUAACCGUGAUGUUACCUGCAGAAUAAGCACCGGCUAA